UCGGCGGCCGUCGCGGUUCAGUCUAGCCGGCGCCUACCGCAUCUGCACCAAGAUGCUGAAGGCCACCAGGAGGACACCGUCGAGCCCGGGCCAGGCUGCUUGCUCGCUUCCCACAACCUAGCGUGAUCUCACAACUUCACCAAAUCAGAAAUUUUUGAGGAAGAAACAUGUAAGAAGGUUACAUAUCCAGCCAAAUAUUGAAAAAUGGAGUGCUAUUAUCUGACCCAGCUCAAGCAAUUGUGGUGGAUCCGGCGAGCAGAGGAGCACGGUCAGCUGCCUGCCGAGGGGCACAAUGAGGUGUCGAGUAGCGGCAAGCUGCGGAGGAUCACGACGAGCUGCCGAGGACUGGGACAUGAGCAUGGUGAGGAUGCGGAGCUCGACACUCGUGACAGUGGCACAGCAGUCAAUGGAGGAGCGCAAAGAGAGGUUCUGACGAUCUACCUGAGUUUUGGGCGUGGCUGAUGAAGAUGGUGGCCGGAAUUUGAAUCUUGAAACUAGCUAAAUUUGUAACAGAUUGAAUAUAUAUGAGUUUAUUUGUAACUUGUAAUUUUU